rnacentral:tRNA from 1 species
UCCCCGGUGGCUCAAACGGUAAAGCGUCUGCCUACAAUGCAGGAGACCCGGGUUCAAUCCCUGGGUUGGGAA